rnacentral:rRNA from 1 species
GACGAACGCUGGCGGCGUGCUUAACACAUGCAAGUCGAACGGUGAACCUGUUUCUGUGGGGGAUCCUUGGCUAACGGGUGAGUAACACGUUGGUAACCUGCCCUCACCUCUGUGUUAACUCCCUGAAAUUGGGUCUAAUACUUGAUAUGACCGCUCACCUCCUGGUUUGUUGGUGUAGAGAUUUAUCGGCUGGGGAUGGUCCCGCGGCCUAUCAGCUUGUUGGUGGUGUAGUGGCCUACCAAGGCGACGACGGGUAGCCGGCCUGAGAGGGUGACCGGCCACACUGGGACUGAGACACGGCCCAGACUCCUACGGGAGGCAGCAGUGGGGAAUAAUGCGCAAUGGGCGAAAGCCUGACGCAGCGACGCCGCGUGGGGGAUGACGGCCUUCGGGUUGUAAACCGCUUUCAGCAGGGACGAAGCGAAAGUGACGGUAACUGCAGAAGAAGCACCGGCUAACUACGUG